UUGGAGGGCAAGUCUGGUGCCAGCAGCCGCGGUAAUUCCAGCUCCAAUAGCGUAUAUUAAAGUUGUUGCAGUUAAAAAGCUCGUAGUUGAAUUUCGGAGUUUGUCGGUUGGUCGGGCUUCACUGUCCGCACUGGCCUGAUGGAUUCCUACCUUCUGAAGAACCGCGAUGUCAUUAAUUUGGUGUCGUGGGGAAUCAGGACUGUUACUUUGAAAAAAUUAGAGUGUUUAAAGCAGGCUUACGCUUGAAUACAUUAGCAUGGAAUAAUGAAAUAGGACGUUUGAUUCUAUUUUGUUAGUUUCUAGGAUCGACGUAAUGAUUAAUAGGGAUAGUUGGGGGCAUUAGUAUUCAAUUGUCAGAGGUGAAAUUCUUGGAUUUAUUGAAGACUAACUUCUGCGAAAGCAUUUGCCAAGGAUGUUUUCAUUAAUCAAGAACGAAAGUUAGGGGAUCGAAGACGAUCAGAUACCGUCGUAGUCUUAACCAUAAACUAUGCCGACUAGGGAUCGGACGAUGUUAAUUUUUUAAUGACUCAUUCGGCGCCUUACGGGAAAC
rnacentral:rRNA from 1 species